CCGGAGGAGCUGAGGUAGCUUUGCUCUUUUUAAGUGGGUGGUAGACUGUAGGUGACUGAUUAAAGUUUCUUUAAUAGUUCAGGAUAUGAAGAGUCUAGAGUCAGGAAGAAUCUACUAACUUUCCUGAUUUUUAUUGGCUCUGAGAUCUGAAGCCAGUUUUUUGUUGUUGUUGAGUAUAUGGGAUUGUCAGGCAGAUCUGGCUGUGGAAAGGAGACUGUGGGCAGCAAGUUUAGAGGCGUGACUGAAAGUGGCGCUGUGACCUUAGCUGCUGAAUCAGCUUUCUGGUUACUAUGGGCAACAGCCUUGUUUUCUUUUUGAUGUCCUUUGCAGUGGAUCACAGCUACCUGCUGAGAAACUCCUGGAGAGCAGAGCCAUGCCUGCCAUUUCCAUCAUUGCAUUACCACCACCCAGCACAGUGCCUGGCACAAAAGAGUUGCUCAAUAAAUAAAUCAGGAUGAAUGGAUAAAUACACGGACAGGCACUUUGAACUACAGAUGAGCUUAAAUACUUUGUGUUUUUCUUAGUCAAACAUGUGCAAUUAAGCAUGUGAUAAAUUAUAUGAUGACCACACCUGUGUCUUGCCUGAUGAUCUUUGCAAUCACUAAACAAAGUCAAUUUUGCCUGUUUUGACAGUUCUGUUUUCAACCUAAUCUGGUUCUUUUAACUUCUGGCUGUUGGCUUUGUUUGCGUUGUUAGCCUGACAAAGUGGCAGAUAUUGGUAUAAGCUCUUUUGUUUAAAUGCCACGAACUUUAAAAAUGCCUUUGCUUUUGGUAAGAAACCCUAGUUAGGACAGUCUAGUGGUCAGGAUGAUUUGGGUUCUGGUGCAGUAACAACAAUCCCCAAAUCUCAGUGGCUCCAUGCAGUGAGGUAUUUGUUUGCUUGUUUGUUUUUGAGACAGGGUCUCACCCUGUCACCCAGACUAGAGUGCAGUGGUGCAAUUUCAGCUCACUGCAACCUCUGCCUCCUAGACUCAAGUGAUUCUCUGCCUCCUGAGUAGCUGGGAUUACAGGCCCAUGCCACUACUGUCUGGCUAAUUUUUGUGCUUAGUAUUGACAGGAUUUCACCAUGUUAGCCAGGCUGGUCUUGAACUCCUGACCUCAAAUGAUCCACCUGCCUUGGCCUCCCAAAGUGCUGGGAUGACAGGCAUGAGCCACCAUGUCUGGCCACAGUGAGGCUUAUUCUUGGUCAUGUUACAUGUCUGGGCUGUGUUAGGGCAUUGUGGUGUGGUCUGUUCAUUGUGUUCACUCAGGGAUCCAGGUUGACAAAAGUCCCAUCUCUGCAUAUGUCCUUGAUCAUCACUUCAGGGGAAAGGGAAUGUGGUGGAUCACAGAGCCUCUUAGCACUUCCACCUGGAGGUGACUCAAGUUGCUCCUGCUCAUGGUUCAUUGGACAAAACAGAUCACAGAGUCAUGGGCAACUUCUCUGUGCCUGGAAGGGGAACCAAAAUAUGAAUAGCUACAUUGAUUUUCUCUAGCUAGUACACAGAAGGCCUCAUUUAAACACAGUUACUUAUUUGUGUUUUGAAGCUAAUUGUAGUCCAUCAACUUUCACAGAAGAUAUGUGCACUUCCAAGCUAUUUUUAAGCACAGCUUUUUUUUUUUUCUUUUGAGACAGAGUGUCACUCUCUUGCCCAGGCUGGAGUGCAGUGGCAUGAUCAUGGAUCACUGCAACUUCUGCCUCCUGGGUAAAAGUGAUUUUUGUGCCUCAGCCUCCCAAAGUGCUGGGAUUACAGACACCCACCACUGCGCCUGGCUAAGUUUUGUAUUUUUAGUAGAGAUGGGGUUUCACCAUGUUGGCCUGGCUGGUCUGGAACUCCUGACCUCAGGUGAUCCACCUGCCUCAGCCUCCCAAAGUGCUGAGAUGACAGGCGUGAGCUGCCGUGCCCGGCCUUGAGUAUGAUUUUUGAUUGGGAACGUCAGAGUUUGGGAUUUAGUCUGAGGACAGUAUGACGUGAAGGUGAAAAGCAGAGCUUGGCUGUGAGUUUGCUGGGAUUCCUGUGCUACUUCUACAGUUCUUUGGCUGUGUGAACAUCACCUUUGGCAAGUUCCUUUACCUUUCUAUGUGUUGGUUUCCACAUCAAUAAAAUGGAAAAAAAUAAUCAUAAUCAUAAUAUCUAUUGGUGUUGGGAUAGCCCAGUGGUUGACACAUAAGGACUCAAAAAUAGUAUUUUUUUUUUUUUGAGAUGGAGUCUUGCUCUGUUGCCAGGCUGGAGUGCAGUGAUGCAAUUUUGACUCACUGCAACCUCUGCCUCCUGGGUUCAAGCGAUUCUCCUGCCUCAGCCUCCUGAGUAGCUGGGAUUACAGAUGCCUGCCACCACUCCCAGCUAAUUUUUGUACUUUUAGUAGAGAUGGGGUUUCACCAUGUUGUCCAUGAUGCUCUCGAUCUCUUGACUUCAUGAUCCACCCACCUCAGCCUCCCAAAGUGUUGGGAUUACAGGCAUGAAAAACCAUGCCUGGCUCAAAAAUACGAUUAUCAAUUUUGGGGGGUAGUUACUAUAUUUUGUGAAAAUCAGAGUUCAGUACCUUGUAACACUGGGUUGGGAUCUAACCCUGAAAGAACAGGCUUCUAAAGAGGAAGGCAUGGAGAGAGGGGCAAAAUUUCAUUGGAUGUUGUAAUGACUUUAGGUAUAUGGAUCUGGGGUUGAGUUCUAGCUGGGCCACCAGAUAGCAAGGUGGACUUUGCUAAAUUCUAUCACUUUCCUGGGCCUCAGACUCACUUGUUACAAAUGGGGUUAAAGCAUCCCUCUU
rnacentral:lncRNA from 1 species